rnacentral:rRNA from 1 species
GAUCCUGGCUCAGGAAAAACGCUGGCGGCGUGCUUAACACAAUGCAGUCGAACGAUGAAGCCCAGCUUGCUGGGUGGAUUAGUGGCGAACGGGUGAGUACACGUGAGUAACCUGCCCCUGACUCUGGGAUAAGCCCGGGAAACUGGGUCUAAUACCGGAUAUGACCAUGGGCCGCAUGUCUUGAGGUGGGAAAAGAUUUAUCGGUUGGGGAUGGACUCGCGGGCCUAAUCAGCUUUGUUGGGUGAGGUAAUGGCUCACCAAAGGCGAACGACGGGUAGCCGGCCUGAAGAGGGGUGACCGGCCCACACUGGGACUGAGACACGGCCCAGACUCCUACGGGAGGCAGCAGUGGGGAAUAUUGCCAAUGGGCGCAAGCCUGAUGCACGACGCCGCGUGAGGAUGACGGCCUUCGGGUUGUAAACCUCUUUCAGUAGGGAAGAAGCGAGAGUGACGGUACCUACAGAAGAAGCGCCGGCUAACUACUUGCCAGCAGCCGCGGUAAUACGUAGGGCGCAAGCGUUAUCCGGAUUUAUUGGGCGUAAAGAGCUCGUAGGCGGUUUGUCGCGUCUGCCGUGAAAGUCCGAGGCUCAACCUCGGAUCUGCGGUGGGUACGGGCAGACUAGAGUGAUGUAGGGGAGACUGGAAUUCCUGGUGUAGCGGUGAAAUGCGCAGAUAUCAGGAGGAACACCGAUGGCGAAGGCAGGUCUCUGGGCAUUUACUGACGCUGAGGAGCGAAAGCAUGGGGAGCGAACAGGAUUAGAUACCCUGGUAGUCCAUGCCGUAAACGUUGGGCACUAGGUGUGGGGGACAUUCCACGUUUUCCGCGCCGUAGCUAACGCAUUAAGUGCCCCGCCUGGGGAGUACGGCCGCAAGGCUAAAACUCAAAGGAAUUGACGGGGGCCCGCACAAGCGGCGGAGCAUGCGGAUUAAUUCGAUGCAACGCGAAGAACCUUACCAAGGCUUGACAUGUUCCAGACCGCCUCAGAGAUGGGGUUUCCCUUCGGGGCUGG